rnacentral:rRNA from 1 species
AGUGAACGCUGGCGGUAGGCCUAACACAUGCAAGUCGAACGGCAGCACAGGAGAGCUUGCUCUCUGCGUGGCGCGUGGCGGACGGGUGAGGAAUACAUCGGAAUCUCCCCAGUCGCGGGGGAUAUCGUAUGGAAACUUACGCUAUUACACCAUACGCCCUCUGCGUGAAAGAGGGGGGUCGCAUGACCUCUCGCGCUUGGAUGAGCCGAUGUCGGAUUAGCUAGUUGGCGGGGUAAUGGCCCACCAAGGCGACGAUCCGUAGCUGGUCUGAGAGGAUGAUCAGCCACACUGGAACUGAGACACGGUCCAGACUCCUACGGGAGGCAGCAGUGGGGAAUAUUGGACAAUGGGCGCAAGCCUGAUCCAGCCAUACCGCGUGGGUGAAGAAGGCCUUCGGGUUGUAAAGCCCUUUUGUUGGGAAAGAAAUCUUGCAGGCUAAUACCCUGGGAGGAUGACGGUACCCAAAGAAUAAGCACCGGCUAACUUCGUG